rnacentral:rRNA from 1 species
CCUACGGGAGGCAGCAGUGGGGAAUUUUGGACAAUGGGCGCAAGCCUGGUCCAGCAAUGCCGCGUGCAGGAUGAAGGCCUUCGGGUUGUAAACUGCUUUUGUACGGAACGAAACGGCCCUUUCUAAUACAAGGGGUUAAUGACGGUACCGUAAGAAUAAGCACCGGCUAACUACGUGCCAGCAGCCGCGGUAAUACGUAGGGUGCGAGCGUUAAUCGGAAUUACUGGGCGUAAAGCGUGCGCAGGCGGUUAUAUAAGACAGAUGUGAAAUCCCCGGGGCUCAACCUGGGACCUGCAUUUGUGACUGUAUAGCUAGAGUACGGUAGAGGGGGAUGGAAUUCCGCGUGUAGCAGUGAAAUGCGUAGAUAUGCGGAGGAACACCGAUGGCGAAGGCAAUCCCCGUGGACCUGUACUGACGCUCAUGCACGAAAGCGUGGGGAGCAAACAGGAUUAGAUACCCUGGUAGUCCACGCCCUAAACGAUGUCAACUGGUUGUUGGGUCUUCACUGACUCAGUAACGAAGCUAACGCGUGAAGUUGACCGCCUGGGGAGUACGGCCGCAAGGUUGAAACCUUAAAGGAAUUAGACGGCGUGNGAGNGCGACGACGACGACGAGGGAGGAGG